rnacentral:misc_RNA from 1 species
UGAAUUUGGUUCAAUACACAGCUGUGAGUAUUUUGUUUUGCUACUGUACAGAGAAGCUGCCCUUAGGCCUAGGUUGUAGCAUACGUUGCAAUUUCUUGUCGUGAUAAUUAGGGAAGUGUUUAACAGUGUGAUUGUUUCUUUAUGCUGAGGAUAGGAAGAAAAGGCUUGGAUGAAUCAUACCUUUGUUAUUUUGGCCUUGAGUUUUUUCCAUUUUUAUUCUCAUUCCCAUUUAAGGGUGGGCGUUGGACUAAUGGUAAGGUUGCUCCACUGUGACCUGGAGCCAGAGGUCAUGGGUUUAUGCCACAGAAACAGUGAAGGUUGCGCACACUUAUCUUUUCUGCAGCCAUGACGCAGGAAGUGUCAGGCUCUAAGGCACUCUUUACCCUCUUUCCCCUUUUUCUUUUGUGUGUCCUGGUUUGGUUAUAUCCGAUAUUCACUGGGGAACAGGGAAAGAGUGCAAUCCACGUACACACUUAUGCAUGUG